AUUGAACGCUGGCGGCAGGCCUAACACAUGCAAGUCGAACGAGUGGCGGACGGGUGAGUCAUGUCUGGGAAACUGCCCGAUGGAGGGGGAUAACUACUGGAAACGGUAGCUAAUACCGCAUACCAUCGGAUGUGCCCAGAUGGGAUUGGCUAGUAGGUGGGGUAACGGCUCACCUAGGCGACGAUCCCUAGCUGGUCUGAGCGGAUGACCGGCCACACUGGAACUGAGACACGGUCCAGACUCCUACGGGAGGCAGCAGGGGGGAAUAGUGCACAAUGGGCGCAAGCCUGAUGCAGCCAUGCCGCGUGUAUGAAGAAGGUGUGCGGGUGGUAAAGCACUUCCAGAGAGGAGGCGUUACUCGCAGAAGAAGCACCGGCUAACUCCGUGCCAGCAGCCGCGGUAAUUC
rnacentral:rRNA from 1 species